CUGGCAGCUGCAGCCGGACACAUGAGCAGAUGAGAGACGCACAGCAGCUCCCUGGGGAGCUCUUGGGGACCACCCGUGCGGCUGCUGCGCCCUGAGGCUGUGAGAGUGCUUCUCCGAGAUCCUUAAGAGUCUCAGCAGCUUCCUGGUUUGGAGCCAUAUGGAACUGCCUCCCUGUGGCCGGCUUUUCCGCCCCAUGGGGACCCACUCCAAGAAUCUGUUAUCUCAGACUCAAGACCAAACUAAGGCAACCCCAAGGCAGGAGGAAUCAAGGAGCAGGCUCUGAGGCUUCAACAAGGUAUUCACACAAUGGUCUGACACCAGCAGGCCCAAGAGUCCCCAGGAUUCAAGAAACGGAUGAUGUGGCCUUUGAUGAAACACUGUGGAACACUGGUUUCUACUGAAUGAUCAAUAUCCUUCCAUUUGAGAAUGCUUACCUUGUGAAAAUAUAUGUAACCCUGUGUAAGUUCAUCUGAACCUUCUCCAGAGAAGAUCACUACGCUAUCCGUGUUCUUCCGAAUGUACUUUGAAAUUAAGUACAUACCUUAAAAAAGAGACAGGAAUUAUUGUUAAUGUCCACAUAACCCUCUACCAAAAAUGCCUUUUAUUUGAUUUCUGGAAAUGACUGCAAGCUUUGCUAUUAGACUAGACUCUCUGUUAAUAUAAAGUAGUUUGCAAAAGAAUGACCUUAUAUCUACAAUAUCUUUAAAUGUACCUAUCUUUUUAUGUACUUAAUCCAAAAGUUGUAUUGUUGUGAUGAAAUACCCCAAAACCCUUCCACAAUUUUAUAUAUAGGUUUUAAAAUGUUACUGCUUUCAGACCAAGAAUGUCUAUCUGAAAAUUUUGCUAAACAAUGUUAAAAAUGCUAAAAAAUUUUGCUGAACAGUGACUCAAAUAUCUUAAAUGUGAUAACUUUCACACCAGUAUCACUAUAAAAAAAUUAAGUUAGGGCCUUGGUAGCUUAAUUUUUAAGCUUUUUUAAGCUUCAGGGCUUUUUUUCUGAUACUUACUCUCCAUUCAGCAUAUUUCAAAUACAGUUAAGAAUAUUGCAUCAUUAAAAGAUGCUGGUUGGUUCUUGCUCCACAUCCCUGUAAACCAGUAUCUAUUCUUAACUGUUUUUUCAUUAUCACCUCCCUAGGGAUACUUUUUAGAUCUUUUUCCCUAAUCUCCUUCACCAAUGAAGUAUCAGUACCAGAAAUACCGUAUUUCUGUUGAUGUACCAUGGCCCUUUGGAAGGCCAGAAACCACUGUAAUGCCUAAGAUUUUUUUGCCCUUCAAGAACUAAUUUUUGCUUCCUUGGGAAAGACAGCACCUCUGUACUAUUACUGCAAAGUUUAGAGCAUGAGGGUGCAGACCCUAAACUUUGCAAUGGAGUCCUGUCAGAUUCUGCAUCCCUUAAGAGAGGCAUAUCUCAGCCAGUAGCAUAUUAGAGGCUCAGCAAAAUUAGAUCAGUCUGAUUUGGAGUAUACUUCUAAUCUCAGUGUGUAUCCACAGGGUAAACUAGUUAUUUCUUGCUGCACAAUAAGUUAUUGAUUGAUAAGUCGUAUGAUGGAAUAUUUACCAAAAUAUAUCUAAAAUGAGCAUUCCUUACAGAAAUUAGUUACAAUGUAGACCUAUUUCCCUAUACAGCCCAAGAAACUUUUAUACAGAGAAACUGGGGGAAAGGUGGUGCAAAAAAUAUGUAUCUACUUUUUGGAAAAAUAUAAAUGGUGAUACCAUAAAUGUGGAAGUUUAACUAUGUACUUAUUGUUCCUCUCCAAAAGAGAUUUCAGGAAUUCUUAAAUGGCCUUGUCUUCAACAAUUCCUGACACAGGAAUUUUACCUGUGUUCAUUCUUGAGUACUGUUUUUUAAACAACUGCUUGAAACAGGAUUGUUUAAUCCUUACACCUUUUCAGUAUUAAAAGUAUUUUGGGAUCAUAAAAUACCUUACCUAC